rnacentral:rRNA from 1 species
UACGGAGGAUCCAAGCGUUAUCCGGAUUUAUUGGGUUUAAAGGGUGCGUAGGCGGGAAAAUAAGUCAGCGGUGAAAGUUUGCAGCUCAACUGUAAAAUUGCCAUUGAAACUGUUUUUCUUGAGUGCAAAUGAGGUAGGCGGAAUGUGUUGUGUAGCGGUGAAAUGCUUAGAUAUAACACAGAACUCCGAUUGCGAAGGCAGCUUACUGGGAUGCAACUGACGCUGAGGCACGAAAGCGUGGGGAUCAAACAGG